rnacentral:rRNA from 1 species
CGCCUGUUUAUCAAAAACAUCUCUUCUCGUUAGUUUUUGAAGUAUGGCCUGCCCACUGACCUUGAAUGUUGAAGGGCCGCGGUAUUUUGACCGUGCAAAGGUAGCAUAGUCAUUAGUUCUUUAAUUGUGAUCUGGUAUGAAUGGCUUGACGAGGCAUGAGCUGUCUUAAUUUUGAAUUGUUUAUUGAAUUUGGUCUUUGAGUUAAAAUUCUUAGAUGUUUUUAUGGGACGAGAAGACCCUAUAGAGUUUGACAUUUAUUAUGGUCUCUUUCUGUUUGUGAGGGUUCACUAGGGCUGUUUAAUAUGUUUUGUUGGGGUGAUGGGAGGGAUAUUAUUUAACCCCUCCUUUGUGUUGUUAUAUUUAUUUAUAUUUGCUUGAUCCAUUUAUUUUGAUUGUAAGAUUAAAUUACCUUAGGGAUAACAGCGUAA